rnacentral:sRNA from 1 species
CGGAAUUUUACACCGUUGUUGAAAAUUCAUACACCCAUUCGGCUGCGCCUCAGGUGUAUGAAUUUUCAACAACGGUGUAAAAUUCUG